rnacentral:rRNA from 1 species
AUGGCCGCCGCCGCCGUCGCCGCUGACUCCAAGAUCGACAACCUCCGCGACACCGUCGCCAAGCUCGGCGAGAUCAGCGAGAACGAGAAGGCCGGGUUCAUCAGCCUCGUCUCGCGCUACCUCAGCGGUGAGGCGGAGCAGAUCGAGUGGAGCAAGAUCCAGACCCCCACCGAUGAGGUGGUGGUGCCCUACCUGUGGCUCCAGUACUUAUAUGUGAACUCGGCUGCUACCAAGCAUAUCAGUGAAAUUAGUGAUAAAAUUGCUAUUGACUAUCUCGACGCCAUGAAGGCCCUGCUUGACAAGCUCGUGGUGCUCAAGCUCAACGGAGGCCUCGACACCACCAUGGGCUGCACCGGCCCCAAACAUUUCAUGCAUGUUUAUGAGGCCUUGGACAAGAUCAGUACGGUGCCGAUGGAGGCCCUCGCCGCCGGCGCCGAUGUGUCCAUGAUUGGGCAGUUUGGUGUUGGCUUCUACUCCGCCUACCUUGUUGCCGAGAGGGUCGUUGUCACCACGAAGCACAACGACGAAGGGCGGUACGUGUGGGAGUCCCAGGCCGGUGGCUCCUUCACCGUCACUCGUGAUACGUUUGGGGAGCAGCUCGACAGGGGUACCAAGAUGGUCCUCUACCUCAAGGACGACUAG